UUUUUGUUACAGCAAGUUCCAAUAGUGCAAAAUGACAUUAAUAACUGACCAAUCGAAAAACCUGGAUUAUACACAACCCUUGUUAAAAAUCGUUCAAGGUAACAAUUUAAAAGAAGAUUCUCAACCAGCAGGACCCCAUCAUAUGGAAUCACCAGAGAUUGUAACAGCUAAUAAUGUCAUUAUCUCGAACAUGUCUCCACCAUCAUGUGUUACACUAGAAGAGAUCCAUGCUCAUUUUCACUCAAUACUGAUCCAAGGAUGGUGUUAUUUUGCUUGUGAUGAAGAGUUGAUAUUAUAUAAGAUAUGAAUUUUACUAUUUCCAAUAAUCUUUCAGUGAAGGUUUCUUUCUCUCAACAACCAGAAAUUGUUAUUGAUACUACAUCAUCUAUAGAAGAUAUAAAAAUGUAUAUGGAAACUCUGCAAGCGACUAUUUUAUGUAAAGGAACUGACAUACAC